UUACAAGCUGUGUGACAUGCGGACAGG
rnacentral:piRNA from 1 species